UGGAUUCAGAGGUGGGGUUGUGGGUCGGGUGAGGCCCGGCAGCUUGUCUCCGUGUGCCGCUCCCAAUCAACCCGCGUUUGCCCCAGCCUCCUAUCGCACGGAAACGGAGUCCUGCUGGGGUCUCCUUAACUGGGGGUUCCAGCGCUUCCGCGCACAACGUGCGCUUACGGACCGUCCGUGGACGUUACUGUGAACAAAACAGCGUGUUCAAAGCAAGUGGCUUGCCUGCCCUGCAUGUUAAAGCAUGGAAUAACAAGGCAUCGACCACUCGGCGGUGCUUUUGUUGGUCCUUCCCUCCCGGUGGRAAUGCGCAGGCGUGCACACUGCCGGCCUUCUGGCCGGUUYUGGUGCCGUCUCUUCGAGAUCAAUAGGGGCAAACGGGGAGAUACUUAUUG
rnacentral:rRNA from 1 species